rnacentral:rRNA from 1 species
UACGGGGGGGGCAAGCGUUGUUCGGAAUUACUGGGCGUAAAGGGCGUGUAGGCGGCCAACUAAGUCCGACGUGAAAUCCCCAGGCUUAACCUGGGAACUGCGUCGGAUACUGGAUGGCUUGAAUCCGGGAGAGGGAUGCGGAAUUCCAGGUGUAGCGGUGAAAUGCGUAGAUAAUCUGGAGGAACACCGGUGGCGAAGGCGGCAUCCUGGACCGGCAUUGACGCUAAAGCGCGAAAGCCAGGGGAGCAAACGGG